UACGGAGGGUGCAAACGUUGCUCGGAAUUAUUGGGCGUAAAGCGCACGUAGGCGGACCAUCAAGUCGGAUGUGAAAUCCCUCGGCUUAACCGAGGACGUGCAUUCGAAACUGAUGGCCUUGAGUACGAAAGAGGAUCGCGGAAUUCCCGGUGUAGAGGUGAAAUUCGUAGAUAUUGGGAAGAACACCGGUGGCGAAGGCAGCAUCCUGGGAAGUUCCUGACGCUCGGGUGCGAAAGCCAGGGGAGCGAAUGGG
rnacentral:rRNA from 1 species